AUGAUCACCUCCUCUUUAUUGAUGAGAUGGAGUCCACCGCAGAAUGGGACUCGAUUAAAAAACACCUGUUAUGGUUCUGACCGUUGUGGAUGUUCAGAUGGAGGAGACAACAGAAAGGAAGAUGGUGAAUUUGAACUUGAUAACUUUGUUGGGCGUAGUGAUGAGAUGGACUUUUUUUAUCGCCGUAGUCCUGACGUGAAGUUGUUGUGUGUGGGGGGGAUUGCUGUUGUUGGGAAAUCAGCUAUCGUCAGAGAGAGUUUCCACGGCAAAGUGAUAACAGGCGGACACUACAUAAUGCACAGCUGGGUGGAUGUACCCCAUCCUUUCGAUUUGACGGACUUAUGCCGGAGAUUGCUUUUGAAUUUUUAUCCGGAUAAUCUUGAGGCAAAGGAAACUGCAUUAAUUAGUAUGAUGGAAGGAAAAGACCCAAUUCAAGGGUGCUGUAAAAUCCUCCGUCAAAACAAUUGUCUCGUUGUUAUUGAUGGUCUGCAGUCGAAGCAUGACUGGGACUUGAUAAAAAAAGCUUUGUUUUCCCAGCCUGUUAGAGGAAGAACCGUUGUCAUUACACGUGAAGAAAGCAUCGCCACAUAUUGUACUAAUAAAAAGGAUGAAAUUCUCAAUGUCAAAGGUCUAAAAGAUGAUUUGGCCCUUAAUCUCUUCAAGAAGAUUAAUCUCAAAGCCGAGAAACUGUCUCAAUCUUUCCCUGAGGUAGUAGAACCAAUUUUAAAGCAUAUCAUGUCCAAGUGUGGUGGGCUUCCAGAAGUAAUAGUUGCUGCAGGAAAAAUUGCCAUCCCAUACUCAGAGAGAAUUAGUUCCUUGGAGCUUUUCAAUGCUGAAUUGAUGGAAAUAUUGGAGAACUCGUUAAGCUUUCCUAGAUUAAAGGGUAUCUUUUGUUGGAUGCAAUCCUAUUUUGAUGCCUGCUCAGAUGAACUCAAGCCAUGUAUCUUCUAUAUGUCAGUAUUCCCUAUGGACCAAAGCAUUAGGCAAAGGCGUUUGCUCAGGCGGUGGAUUGCAGAGGGUUACUCCUCUGGUGGUGGUGGUGGUGCUGCAGAGGAGAAGGGAGAAAAGCUCUUCUCCGAACUCAUGAAAUUGAGCAUAUUAUAUCUGGAUCAGCGGACAUCAUCAACGACAAAAAGCUGGAUGGUCAAUGGCUUCUUCCGUGAAUACAUCAAGUCACGGCCAAUGGAAGAUAAUCUUGUGUUUGCACUAGAGGGGGGUUGCAGCCCCAGCUCGCGACUCACGGGACAACACCUCACCAUAAGCAGCUGUUGGGACAGGGAUGAGAUUGUGUUCAAUAGCAUGGACUUGUCACGGCUACGGUCUUUGACAGUGUUUGGGAAGUGGGUGCCAUUCCUCGUCUCGGACAAGAUGAAGGUGCUUCGGGUGCUUGAUCUAGAGGGUACUAGUAGGACAUCAGAUGGUACUGCUAGUGUAACAGAUGAUGUUCUGGAGAAGAUCGUGAAGCAGUUUCGUCGCCUCAAGUUCAUGUCCCUGCGUGGAUGCAUGGAAGUCACUCGUCUCCCUGAUUCAUUGGGUGCCAUGACUCAGCUGGAGACUUUGGAUGCCAGGCACACCUCCAUAGUCGAGCUGCCACCUGCUAUCAUCACCAAGCUACACAAGCUUCAGUACAUUCGUGCUGGCACCACCAAAGCAAGACGACUACAAGCAGCAACAAGAGCAGCAGCAGCAAUGCCACCACCACCACCACCACCACCACCAACAACAACAACAACAACACAAGAAGAAGACAUCCAUAGUGGAAGGAGCUCCUUUGUAGGAGUCAAAGCAGCAGCAGCAUUAGGUGUGGUCCAACGAGCAUCAUCUAGAAUUACUGGAGCAUUGAAGAAUAGGGUGCAUGCUUUGGUGGAAUCCAGCAGCAGCAGUAGCUGGUGGGAGUCGAAGAAACAGCGCAGGCGUCGCGUUCGUGUUGCUGCAAAUGGUGACGGUGUUGAGAUUGUUCGUGCCGCCGCCGAGGGGAUUGGGAAGCUGACGGAGUUGCAUACACUCGGUGUUGUGAAUAUUGCAGGUGGGAAAGACAGUCUCCUACUCCUCAAGGAGCUCGAGAAUCUUACCCAGCUGCGCAAGCUCGGGUUGACCGGCAUCAACAGUAAAAACUGGAAGGAGUUGUGCGAUGCCAUCUCCGGUCACCUCCCUCAUCUCGAGUCCUUGUCACUGCAACUGCUGGUGCUGCAGGAGAAUGCCGGCAGCUAUGAGUUUGCUUGUUUUGACCGCAUCUCCGUGCUGCCCAAGACCCUGAAGCGCCUUAAGGUACUGUACACUAGUAGUCGUAACAGUGUUGCAUGCAUAAGGCAAACAUGGACCAGGCUUCCCGAUCCCGUAUGUUUCCAACAUGAGUGGAGGGUAUCAACUGGAGAGGACAUAGGCAUGUUAUUUAGCCGGGAUAUGUUACGAAGCUCUGACCGCCCUCAUGUCCAGCCGGUAGAGGAGCUUCUCACAUUUGGUCAUGUGCCUACACCUGAUGGUUCUGAGUGGAGACCUGUCGAGCACCUCAGGUUUGACUGCCACGGCAUCCGCUCAAGGGUAACUUUUGGACGGGCAACUUUUUUCUCGGUUGAGACGCUCAACAUUAACUGCUGCAGAUCUUGUGGUGGAUCGUCGUGCUUGUGGAUUGACGGGCUAAGGUACCUACAUGGACUCAAGGAAGUCUGUGUAACGGGAGAGUACAGCAGCAGCUUCGCGCAAGACUUGCGCAGGCAACUUGACAAGCAUGCAAACCAUCCUGAACUGAAGAUGUUAAACUCCUCGUAG
rnacentral:rRNA from 1 species